GCGGAGGACAUUGUCAGGU
rnacentral:siRNA from 1 species